rnacentral:rRNA from 1 species
GAUCAUGGCUCAGAUUGAACGCUGGCGGAAUGCUUUACACAUGCAAGUCGAACGGUAGAGGGGGCAACCCCUUGAGAGUGGCGAACGGGUGAGUAAUAUAUCGGAACGUCGCCCAGUCGGUGGGGGAUAACGUAGCGAAAGUUACGCUAAUACCGCAUACGAUCUAAGGAUGAAAGCGGGGGACUCGCAAGAGCCUCGCGCGAUUGGAGCGGCCGAUAUCAGAUUAGGUAGUUGGUGGGGUAAAGGCUCACCAAGCCAACGAUCUGUAGCUGGUCUGAGAGGACGACCAGCCACACUGGAACUGAGACACGGUCCAGACUCCUACGGGAGGCAGCAGUGGGGAAUUUUGGACAAUGGACGCAAGUCUGAUCCAGCCAUUCCGCGUGCAGGAUGAAGGCCCUCGGGUUGUAAACUGCUUUUGUACGGAACGAAAAGGUUUCUAUUAAUACUAGGAGCUCAUGACGGUACCGUAAGAAUAAGCACCGGCUAACUACGUG